ACGAUUUUAUUAAUAACCACCUUCCUCCAACAAGAAGAAGGGGAGAAACAGUACAUAAGAGAAUAGCAAAACAUUGUAAAUUUGUAAUAGCUUCGGUUGCAAAUCAUAGGUGGCCCAACAGGGCCCAAAACAUAUUCAUGAUCACAACCCUACUGGCCCAAAUGAUCAAUUUUGGGGCUUGGCUUACUUUGUGUUUGAUUAUUUGAUUGCCCAGUGAGCAUCUGGACCGAGCUGUUUUCACUUUUAGCAUCUGAACCACUGGGACGUGAAAUCGAAUUGGCUUUGUGUUGGCGACGAUGAAGAUGAAGAUAAACGGCAGCCAUUCUCAUUCUUGCUUCAUGUUCUUCUUCUUCCGCUUGCAUAAUGUCUAGAAUAAUUUUUGUGGUGAUGUCCAUUACAAUUGAGUUUUCAGAAAGGGAGAAUGACU
rnacentral:lncRNA from 1 species